UACGUAGGGUGCAAGCGUUGUCCGGAAUUAUUGGGCGUAAAGCGCACGCAGGCGGUCUGCUAAGUUUGGAGUGACAGUUGGUGGCUUAACUGCCAAAGUGCUUCGAAAACUGGCAGACUUGAGGGCUUCAGAGGGACACGGAAUUCCGGGUGGAGUGGUGAAAUGCGUAGAGAUCCGGAGGAACACCAAAGGCGAAGGCAGUGUCCUGGGGAGUACCUGACGCUCAGGUGCGAAAGCCAGGGGAGCGAACGGG
rnacentral:rRNA from 1 species